rnacentral:rRNA from 1 species
GACGAACGCUGGCGGCGUGCUUAACACAUGCAAGUCGAACGGAAAGGCCCUGCUUGCAGGGUACUCGAGUGGCGAACGGGUGAGUAACACGUGGGUGAUCUGCCCUGCACUUCGGGAUAAGCCUGGGAAACGGGGUCUAAUACCGGAGAUGACCUUCCAUGUAGUGUGGGGGGUGGAAAGAUUGAUCGGUGUGGGAUGAGCCCGCGGCCUAUCAGCUUGUUGGUGGGGUAAUGGCCUACCAAGGCGUCGACGGGUAGCCGGCCUGAGAGGGUGGACGGCCCCAUUGGGACUGGGAUACGGCCCAGACUCCUACGGGAGGCAGCAGUGGGGAAUAUUGAACAAUGGGCGGAAGCCUUAUGCAGCGACGCCGCGUGGGGGAUGACGGCCUUCGGGUUGUAAACCUCUUUCGACAGGGACGAAGCUUCGGUGACGGUACCUGUAGAAGAAGCACCGGCUAACUACGUG